rnacentral:rRNA from 1 species
UCAGAUNGAACGUUGGCGGCAGGCUUAACACAUGCAAGUCGAACGAGAAAGUUCCUUCGGGAACGAGUAAAGUGGCGGACGGGUGAGUAACGCGUAGGAAUCUACCCUUUAGCGGGGGAUAACUCGGGGAAACUCGAGCUAAUACCGCAUAAAGUCUCUAGGGACUAAAGCGGGGGAUCUUCGGACCUCGCGCUAUAGGAGGAGCCUGCGUUGGAUUAGCUAGUUGGUAGGGUAAAGGCCUACCAAGGCGACGAUCCAUAGCUGGUCUGAGAGGACGAUCAGCCACACUGGAACUGAGACACGGUCCAGACGACUACGGUCGGCAGCAGUGGGGAAUUUUGCCCAAUGGGCGCAAGCCUGAGGCAGCUAUGCCGCGUGUGUGAAGAAGGCCUUAGGGUUGUAAAGCACUUUCAAUAGCGAAGAAGGUAAGCGGUUAAUACCCGUGGAUCUUGACGUUAACUAUAGAAGAAGUACCGGCUAACUCCGUGCCAGCAGCCGCGGUAAUACGGAGGGUACGAACGUUAAUCGGAAUUACUGGGCGUAAAGCGAGCGUAGGCGGUGUGAUAAAGCGAGAUGUGAAAUCCCUGGGCUUAACCUAGGAACUGCAUUUCGAACUGACACACUAGAGUGUAGUAGAGGGAUGUGGAAUGUGCUGUGUAGCGGUGAAAUGCGUAGAUAUAGCACGGAACACCAGUGGCGAAGGCGGCAUCCUGGACUAACACUGACGCUGAGGUUCGAAAGCUAGGGGAGCAAACAGGAUUAGAUACCCUGGUAGUCCUAGCCGUAAACGAUGAGAACUAGCCGUUGGGCCCCAUAGGGGCUUGGUGGCGAAGCUAACGCGAUAAGUUCUCCGCCUGGGGAGUACGGCCGCAAGGUUAAAACU